rnacentral:rRNA from 1 species
UACGGAGGGUGCAAGCGUUGUUCGGAAUCACUGGGCGUAAAGGGCGUGUAGGCGGCCAGGUAGGUCUGGUGUGAAAACUCGAGGCUUAACCUCGAGAUGUCAUCGGAAACCAUCUGGCUAGAGUCCGGAAGAGGAGAGUGGAAUUCCUGGUGUAGCGGUGAAAUGCGCAGAUAUCAGGAAGAACACCAAUGGCGAAAGCAGCUCUCUGGGACGGUACUGACGCUGAGACGCGAAAGCGUGGGGAGCGAACAGG